UACAGAGGGGGCAAGCGUUGUUCGGAAUUACUGGGCGUAAAGGGCGCGUAGGCGGCCUGUUAAGUCGAACGUGAAAUCCCUGGGCUCAACCCAGGAACUGCGUCCGAUACUGGCAGGCUUGAAUUCGGGAGAGGGAUGCGGAAUUCCAGGUGUAGCGGUGAAAUGCGUAGAUAUCUGGAGGAACACCGGUGGCGAAGGCGGGUCUCUGGACAGUUCCUGACACUGAGGCACGAAGGCCAGGGGAGCAAACGGG
rnacentral:rRNA from 1 species